GACGAACGCUGGCGGCGUGCUUAACACAUGCAAGUCGAACGGAAAGGCCCUGCUUUUGUGGGGUGCUCGAGUGGCGAACGGGUGAGUAACACGUGAGUAACCUGCCCUUGACUUUGGGAUAACUUCAGGAAACUGGGGCUAAUACCGGAUAGGAGCUCCUGCUGCAUGGUGGGGGUUGGAAAGUUUGGGCGUUUGGGGAUGGACUCGCGGCUUAUCAGCUUGUUGGUGGGGUAGUGGCUUACCAAGUCUUUGACGGGUAGCCGGCCUGAGAGGGUGACCGGGAACAUGGGGACUGAGAAACGGACCAGAAGCCAACGGGAGGAAGAGGUGGGAAAAAUGGCACAAUGGGCGGAAGCCUGAUGCAGCAACCCCGGGUGCGGGAUGACGGCCUUCGGGUUGUAAACCGGUUUCGCAUGUGACGAAGCGGGAGUGACGGUAAUGGGUAAAGAAGCACCGGCUAACUACGUG
rnacentral:rRNA from 1 species